GCCGCGGUGGCGGAAUUGGUAGACGCGCUAGACUCAAAAUCUUGUAGGAGCAAUCCUGUGAGGGUUCAAGUCCCUCCCGCGGCACCA
rnacentral:tRNA from 1 species